GAUGAACGCUGGCGGCGUGCCUAAUACAUGCAAGUCGAGCGAACGGACGAGAAGCUUGCUUCUCUGAUGUUAGCGGCGGACGGGUGUGUAACACGUGUAUAACCUCCCUAUCAGACUGGGAUAACUUCGGGAAACCGGAGCUAAUACCGGAUAAUAUUUUGCACCGCAUGGUUCAAUAGUGAAAGACGGUCUUUCUGUCACUUAUAGCUGGAUCCGCGCUGCAUUAGCUAGUUGGUAAGGUAACGGCUUACCAAGGCAACGAUGCAUAGCCGACCUGAGAGGGUGAUCGGCCACACUGGAACUGAGACACGGUCCAGACUCCUACGGGAGGCAGCAGUAGGGAAUCGUCCGCAAUGGGCGAAAGCCUGACGGAGCAAGGCCGCGUGAGUGAUGAAGGUCUUCGGAUCGUAAAACUCUGUUAUUAGGGAAGAACAUAUGUGUAAGUAACUGUGCACAGCUUGACGGUAACUAAUCAGAAAGCCACGGCUAACUACGUG
rnacentral:rRNA from 1 species